rnacentral:rRNA from 1 species
GACGAACGCUGGCGGCGUGCUUAACACAUGCAAGUCGAACGGAAAGGCCCUGCUUUUGUGGGGUGCUCGAGUGGCGAACGGGUGAGUAACACGUGAGUAACCUGCCCUUGACUUUGGGAUAACUUCAGGAAACUGGGGCUAAUACCGGAUAGGAGCUCCUGCUGCAUGGUGGGGGUUGGAAAGUUUCGGCGGUUGGGGAUGGACUCGCGGCUUAUCAGCUUGUUGGUGGGGUAGUGGCUUACCAAGGCUUUGACGGGUAGCCGGCCUGAGAGGGUGACCGGCCAUAUUGGGACUGAGAUACGGCCCAGACUCCUACGGGAGGCAGCAGUGGGGAAUAUUGCACAAUGGGCGGAAGCCUGAUGCAGCAACGCCGCGUGCGGGAUGACGGCCUUCGGGUUGUAAACCGCUUUCGCCUGUGACGAAGCGUGAGUGACGGUACUGGGUAAAGAAGCACCGGCUAACUACGUG